rnacentral:rRNA from 1 species
AGAGGUGGCAAGCGUUGUUCGGAAUUACUGGGCGUAAAGGGCGCGUAGGCGGCCAUCUAAGUCAGACGUGAAAUCCCCCGGCUUAACCUGGGAACUGCGUCUGAUACUGGACGGCUUGAGUAUGGGAGAGGGAUGUAGAAUUCCAGGUGUAGCGGUGAAAUGCGUAGAUAUCUGGAGGAAUACCGGUGGCGAAGGCGGCAUCCUGGACCAUUACUGACGCUGAGGCGCGAAAGCUAGGGGAGCAAACGGGAUUAGAUACCCCGGUAGUCCUAGCCCUAAACGAUGAAUACUUGGUGUGGCGGGUAUCGAUCCCUGCCGUGCCGAAGCUAACGCAUUAAGUAUUCCGCCUGGGGAGUACGGUCGCAAGGCUG